rnacentral:lncRNA from 1 species
AACACUUGAUACCCAGCAUGAGGACCUGAGUUCUGAUCCCAGCACCUACGGAAAAGCCAGUAGUGGCUGAUCAUAUCUGAAACCCUAGAACUAGGGGACAAGUGAGUCCCAAAAGCUUGCUGAGCAGGCAGCCUAGCUAAAAUGGUAAGCCCCAGCCGGGUUCAGUGAUAGAGAAAAGGUUAUACUGUGAACACCGGUAUUCCUGUUUGGCCUCUGCACGGGUGGGUGUUCAUCUGCACACACAUGUAUAACAUACACACACAUUAGCUGUCUAUAGGGCUUCCUAUAGAAAUCAGAACGACACAGUAAAGGAUGAGUCAGCAGUCAGUUCUUCACAGGAGCGAUGCUUAUGUGCACCCUGCAUCCUUCCUGCUCCGUGCUCUAAACCAUCUCUGUAUUUGGUCCAGUGGGCUGACUCUGUGGGUAAAGGUGCUUGCUACCAAGCCUGGCAGCCUGGGUUCAAUCCCUAAGACCCACAUGGUAGGGAAAGAGAACCAGCAUCCACAAGUUGUCCACUGAAUUCCACGUGAGAUCAUCUCCCCCAAAUAAAUAAUUACAUACAUCCAUAAAAUAAGUAAAGUAGUUAUAUACAGUGCCUAAUACAAUAGCUAUAGAUGUUAAUAAUAAUUUGUAUUAUUUGGGAAAUAACAAGAAACUGUGUACCUCCAGUUUCAUUUUCUAGACUAUUUCCCACCUGUAGUUUGUUGAAUCUGCAGAUUCAGGACCCAUGGGUGGGCAGGGAUCAAUGUAUUUCCCCUUUGACCUUCCCUCCAGGAUUUCCCAGAUCCCCACCAAAGAACCUCCUUUCAGACAAACGGUUUCCCCCACAACCUCCCCUCUACUCCGAACCAAGGAGCCCUCCAUUCUUCCACGCCCCAGCUGUAUCCUGUGCUCUUGAAUGUCACUUAAACUUUCCUGGCUCCCUUUGCUCAGCACCUUGUCUGUGAGACUUGUUCUGAUGAGAGAAGGGCCCUGACUCUGCCCUGUCCAUGCUCCUUGGUUAGCAGAGCGAGGACCAUAACCCACCCUCCAUCCUCCAGAGCACACUCACAGAUGCCCCUUUGCAGGCCAUCUACAAGAUGGUGUCCUGUGUGAUGAAGAUCCCCGAGGACGAGUCCAUGCCCGAGAAGUGAACAGACAAGAUCUUCAGGCAGAUGGACACAAACAAUGAAGGUAAGCAAGCUGGAACCCCUACAGGGUGUUGCAACUCACCCAGCAACUCACCACAGACUAAAUAUCGAUGGAUGUCAGUACCGCAGACCCUCUUGGUCCCUUAUCUGCGUAGAAUGAGUCUCUGAUACAGAUCCCAAGACCACCAGCUCUGGGAAACCUACCACUCACAAUGGGCUGGGCCCUUCUCUAUCAAUCAUUAAUUAAGAAACUGCCAUACAGAAGGAGGCAUUUUCUCAAUGGAGAACAAGCAGGCUGCCUAUGACUGCUUCCCUGCCAGAUGACACCUGUGAGUAAAGGAUGCUGAGAAUUCUGAUGUCACCUGUGUAAUGCUCUGUCAGGACAGCCCCUGCUCUCAGGUGCCUGUGGGAAUCUCUGGGGCAUGUUUUCAGAUCUUAAAAGAUUCUAUGCACACACACACUGUUGAAGCUGAAUCGUCUGGGAAAUCACAGACUGAGACGUCUUUGUUCCUGCUAAGUGACUCAUGGGUGCCCUUUAAAAGAGAACGAAACAGACAUGUUCUGAUGGGGAAAACACAUGAAGAAUGCAGCUGCUUUUUCCCAAACAGCCAUCAGCCCAUCUACUUUAGGCCAAUGAGGGGAAACGCACCCAAAGCUCCCAGUUGACCUUCCCCAUGAGGAUCUUCUGUCCUGGUCCUGGGCCCAGAGUGGGGUUGGGGGUAAAGUGCCUGGACCUGGUGGCAAAGGGAAACAGUUUCCCCAGGGCUGUUUAGAAAAGAUGCUGUGUCUACAGUCUGCUGUGCUUCUAGGCGAAUCACUUUCUGUAGCAGGAUAAUAGAUAAUCCUGAGUCCCCUUAUGGAACAUUUACUAUAUGUACAACACAGUUCUGUGUGUUGCACAACCAAGUUUCCUAGCCUCCCAAAGGAAGAACCAGGGCUCAGAAAGAGUUAGAGACUUGCCAGGGUCACAUAGAGGAUGUCUCUGUGGGGACAACCAGGCAGCUAGAUGCAGUGCCUCUCUAGAGUAGCAGGUCUCAACCUGUGGGUCAUAACCCAUUUGGCACACCUCUAUCUCCAAAAAUAUUUACACUACAAUUUGCAACAGUAGAAAAAAUUAGUUAUGAAAUAGCAACAAAUAUAGUUGGGGGUCACCAACAUAUAAGGAACUGUAUUUAAGUGGUGAACUAUAUUUAAGGAUAGCAGCAUUAGGAAGGUUGAGAGCCACUGCUCUAGAUUGUACCUGAUGGAUAAAAAUUUACUUAGAUUUUAUUUAUUCUUUGUGGAUGGGUGUCUUGCAUGUAUGGCUUUGCUCCACUCAAGUGUCUGCUGACCACUGGGGUCAGAAGAAGGCAUAGGAUCCCCUGGACCUGGAAUUACAGAUGGUUGUGAGGGGCCAUGCAGGUGCUAGGAAUUGAACCCAGGUCCUCUGAAAGAACAGCUAGUGUUCCUGACUGCUGUGCCUUCUUUCCAGCCCUUCACUUAAAAAUUCUAAUGUAGGAGGUGGAUGAUACUGUUAUUGGAGGAGACAAUCAGUAAACAUGAGCUGAUCUGGAUAGUGGUAUGUCCUAAACAUCUGCCUCCAGGUCUUAUCUGAUUCACUCAGGCAUCGAGCCCUCUGUGUGCAAUGGUUGGGUGGAGAAGCAGAGGAAGCAGCCAAGGUUGCUAUGGGCCUCCAGCACAUCCUGAUCUGUUGUUAUGAGAACUGCCUGAAUGUACAGUGAUGGUAAAUGUGUCCCUCCUAUACACACAGACAACAGGAACCCAUCAGCUUUGAACCACAGUACUCCAUGCCAAGCACAGACUAAUGCCAGCAGUAGUUCCUGCGGCUGUCAACCUUGGUUUCAUCAAAUUGUCCUGGGCUUCCAGGGGGUUUCCAGGAAAUGCGGCUGGUUUGUAUCAACCUCUUUGAAUGGGGGAAAUCCCAUGUUGACAAAGGGGAAGCCACAACAUAACACAGUGAAGGAGCAGGAAGCAGCUCUCUGAUUUCUGGCCCCAAGUGUAAGUUAUCCAGGGCAGCCCUGGUCCUGAAGCUCUCUCCUUGAUUCCUUAACAGGAAGGAAAUGAUAUCCACAUGGAGGAGGGGUUUCUUGUAAAUGACUUGCUCUGGGUGGGCAUUCUUGACCACUUUACCUCCUCUCCUUGUUGGGAGUGUUUCCCUCUCUCCUUACCCUAACUAAGGAAGUCCUAUAGAAAGUCCUUAACACUCACUGGGGGGCCACCCAAAGAGACAGCAGUAGGCUGCCCUGCAUGCCCAUGUGUGUUGAUGGCAUCAAAGCCAGAGCUCAGAACAGUCAGUGCCACACCUCCCAUUAUUCUGCCUCUUCAUUCCCCCAUGACUGUGUGCAACUCCUAGGUCUUGCCUCAGGAAGGCAGGCAUGUGGUAGCCUCUCUGUGACUCCCCUGUCAGCACUCCUUAGUGGGCAGGUAGGCAUGAAAGCCAAUCAACAUAUGUUUCUGUAAUUAAAUCCCUUAGAAUAGGACUUUGGUCUCUCAGAACAGAAAGAGCCCUGACUAAUACAGAGGGAUUUUAGACAGUAUGUGGAAUGCUGAGCAGUGUGAACUGGUAGGAAGAGGAGCCCCCUGGGAGGUGUUGGAGCCUAAAGGGACAUCCUCAUAUGUGUUCUGUCACCGAGAGCAUCUCCUAGGUGCUCCUAUGAGUGUGUUCCUGUGUUGUGUCCCUGUUCCAAGUGUGGUCCUUCCUAGGAACACCCUCUAAUCCUCAGUUGUUAACUGCUGAUUAUGUAUAAGACACUGUGUGAAGUCCUUAUCCAAAUAAGGUGCUUACAGCAACACAGAGGCAAAACCUCUAUUGUUAGAAAAAUCAGACUGGUUGAACCAGCUUCAGGAAUUCCAGAAGUCUGAACAGAGAUAUAAAUAUCCCUUUGGGUGACUCUGAGAGCCCAGCUGUGAGGCUGGAAGGUGACAGGAAGGACAGGCAGUGUGGUCUGGUGCCUCACCAAGCUCGGGAAAAGACACGAGAGACCCACUAAGGAAGACAGAUCUGUGCGUGUGUCUGCUUUGGGACAACUUGACUGCGACUCUGUAAGCAGCAGUGUCAUUACAGGAGAGGCUCAUGACAAACACUGAGGAUAAUGGGCAGGUAGCUUUGUCACAUGACCCUUGAGCAUCAGGUAUGGAGGCAUUUCUUACCUGUGGGCUGAAUUGGGGCACAGUGCCUAGGCAGAGCUUGAGAACUGAAGGAUGAGGUCAAGCCCAGCUUCGCUCUGUGACAAUGAGUGUGCCACUUUGCCUUUCUGAACUGCAGGGACAUAUUAGUGCCCGCCCCCAUUUUGUCUACCUACAGGUAAACCAGAUAAAAUCUUGUCACUCCUUGCAUACCAUUUGCAUAUCUGUUACUAGGGUAGCAAUAAAAAGGUACAAAAUCUGUAAGCACAUUUUUACAAAAACCUGAAAAUAUAAGUAAUAGCAAGUUGUGGACUGGAAUGUGGGGACCAUUCUGUUUUCUGGGAUGACUACAAAGGCAGAUGGAGUUUUGGGGUCUAAGUGAUGGAAAUAACCUUGCAGGUCUAAGUUAGACCCCGGCCCGAGGAUAGGGUGAGAGUUUGGACAUGCUUUCCCUCCUGCAUGCUGCUGCUGUCCCAAGGCAAAGCUGUCACUCAGAAAGCCUGGCAUGUAAAACUUCAUCUGUUCCAUGAAAAGUCAAUUAUCUCUUCCCAGACAUUGCCUUCCCUGGGUGAUAGAUGUGAGCUAUUAGCGUGCCCUUGGCAAAGACCUUGCCAUGUUUUAAUUCUGUCUUUCUGGCUGGACUGUCCCUGGACAAGAACCCUCUGGGGACCCAAGUCUGGGAUCUGCUGACUCUGUGGAAACUUCCCAAACUCACUUAGACCCCCAAAGUCUCUCCUGUGGGCUGUGGAGGGACCUCAGUGCCCUUGGCUCUUGUUACUCUCCUAUGUGACUUUUGUUACAUCAUCUGUGAUCAGAGCAGUUUAUACAAAGAACUUUAACAGCAGGAGAUGAAACAAAUACCUCCCUUAUGUGGGCAGAGCCCUGUGCUGGUCCCUUUUUUGCAGAGCAACCCUGGACAUCUUCACCUUGUGACCAUGACAAUGGAGCAAGCUGGUUGCUGAGACCUAUUUGGGAUCACAUUCUAUUUUAGUCAGCUCAGGCAGGCAGCUCUGAAUAGUCUCAGUGGGACUGACUGACCAUCCAGCUUCCACAGAGAAAUCUUUAAUGCUCAAGCUAGGAAGAGGGGGGUUGGUGGGGGUGGCCAGGCUGCAAGGCCAGGCCUACUCCUGGCUUUUUCUCUGGGAGAAGUAACAUUUUGGUAUCACUAUCCUUCUUCUUGGUAGUUAUCAAGAUGGUAAGGAGGACUCUGAAGUGCUAUCUCCAAGAGCAGGUAGGCUUCUGGCAUGUUCUGCCCAUGGACAAACCAAAUAUGGCUGUCUCUUCUCCCAUCUGAUUUAGGCAGCUUGUUUUUAUUCCCUGGCCAAGGAAGGUGCACUGUUCACUGUGCAGCCAGCUUAAUUUGAAACCUAAAAAGACAUAUUCCUUUAGCUUAGGUUAUACCACCUCCAUAUGGACCCUGAUCCUUACAGUCUGGCUUAUAUAGAACAUUCACAGAAGGACAACCAGACAGCAGGGAAGCUCCUGCGCUUACAGAUGGGAGAGCACCACUUUGAAGUGAUGUUAGCUCACAGAGCCAGCUGAGUCUUGUUUGUAAGGUGUGCGUGGAGAGCCUACCUCACAGAUAGUUAACAUGGUGAAGUAUGAGAGCACACAGGCCACACCUCCUUUCUGUAGUGGUUUGAAAUAGAAAUAUCCCCUAGAGCAGUGCUUCUCAACCAUCCUGAUGCUGUGACCUUUUAAUAUAGUUCCUCAUGUUGUGGGAACCCCCAACUGUAAAAGUAUUUCACUGCUAAUUCAUAACUGUAAUUUUGCUACUGUAGUGAAUCAUAAUGUAAAUAUCUUAUUUGUGAUCCAUAUGAAAAGGUCAUGUAACUCCCCACAAGGGGUCGCCACCCACAGGUUGAGAACCACUGCCCUAUAUGCUCAGGGAUUUGAACAGCAAAUCUCCAGUUGGUGGUGCUGUCAGAGGAAGUUCAGGAGGUAUAGCUUUGCUGGAGCAAGCAUAGCAUAGGGGUGGGCUUUCAGAGUUCAUAAAUGGUCCCCACUUCCACUUUUGCUCUUCUCCUCUUUCUGAGUGGAGUUGAAGAUGUGAUCUUUCAACCUCCUCUUCCUCCCUUUGUGCCUGUCACUUGCUGCUGUGCCUUCCUGCCAUGAGAGAAUCGUAUCCCACUGUAGCUAUGAGCUAAAACAAACCCUGUCUUCCAUGAGUUGUUUUUGGUGAGGGAUUUUGUUAUAGCAACAGAAAAGCAAUGAACCCACUUUCCCUUUCUAUCAUCCCAAGGGCUUUGCUUUCUAAGGAAUUGAUGGGAAAAACACACAGAACAUAGAUUUUUGCUUCUAUGAGGCUUAGUGUGCCAGCUUAGUCUUAUUAUCUUGGGAAUUCCUCCUUCUUAUUCUAUGGCUAGAUAUGCAAUGAUAGGCCUUGGUUUCUCUCUGGAGAAACAUAAGCAGCAUCUACUCCCUCCUCCUAAGGCCCCAAUGACAAACCAACAUAUGUUUCUACUGAGGAUCAUCCAGCAUAACCAAUGAAUUUACUGAGGUUAUGUCCUGGUUAGUUUUUUCUCAACUUGACACAAGCUGGAGUCAAACAGAAAGAACCACAAUUGAGAAAACUCCUCCAUCAGAUUUACUAUACGCAAAUCUGCAGGGUUAUCUUGACUGAUAAUUGAGAGAGGACGACUCAGCCCGCCAUGGAUUGUGUUCCCCUAAGCACAUGCUCUUGAACAGCAUAAGAAAAGAGGUUGAACAAUCCAUGGGAGCAAGCCAGUAAAUGGCAUACUUCCAUGGCUUCUUUUUUCAGUUCCUGCUUCCAGGUCCCUGCUUUUAGCUCCCGCCCCGACUUCCUGUCAUGAUUGACUACAAGCUGUAAGAUGAAAUAAACCCUUUCUACCCCAAGUCACUUCUGUUAACAGCAGUGUAUCCUACCAAUAGAAAACAAACUAAGCAAACUAUUUCCUUACAGUGUGGAGGUGAAGAGUUACAAGCAGGUACACGGGUGAACCCUAAGAAGGCGCACUGGAAACUCUUCACACAGCACAUCUGAUACAUCCCAUCUAACUACAAUCCCUCCACAGCCAUUGUGCUUUAAUAAUCCCUAAGCCGCAAACUAAGUAUAAUUAGGGCAGAAUUGAAUUAAAUGUCUGCAAGGAGAAGCUGGAGUCUCACCUAAGGAUCCAGGGACUCCUUUUCUGAGGGAAGGUCAGCAUUCCACAGGUUGCUUCUGAUGGUCUCUUGAGAGAAUGCAUGGUUCAUCUGAUAAAGAUGAUGUCUAUUUUGGUCACAGGGCUGUGUUCUACAACAAUGUUCACCUGCUAAAGGCCCUCUGGCCAGCAUUCCAGUACCAUGAUUCCUGCUGUUCAGCUUAGUCCUUGGGAUCCAGCCCUCUGGGUUAGGGUCAGAGAUCAGCUCCAUUCACAGUAGCAGCAACAGGUAUGGGACUGAAUGACGCAGAUCUAUCUUCUGAAGGUUCCUUUCUACUUCUCAUGCCAACUCCUUCUUCAUCUUUGAGUCCAGCACUUUGGUAAGCCUGAAGACAGAGGCUUGGACACCAGUGUUUUAGCACCAAAAAAUUUUC